GAUGACUGUAGGUGAAAGCUUACAUCUCUUCGGAGCAUUUUACGAGGUGCUGCAUGGUUGUCGGUCAGCUCGUGCCGUGAGGUGUCGGGUUAAGUCCCAUAACGAGCGCAACCCUACCUUUAGUUGCCAUCAGGUUAAGCUGGGGACUCUAAAGGAACUGCCUACGCAAGUAGUGAGGAAGCGGGGAUGACGUCAAAUCAGCACGGCCCUUACGUCCAGGGCUACACACGUGCUACAAUGGCCGAUACAGAGGGCAGCUACCUGGUGACAGGAUGCAAAUCUCCAAAGUCGGUUCAGUUCGGAUCGGAGUCUGCAGCCCGACUCCGUGAAGUUGGAUUCGCUAGUAAUCGCGCAUCAGCCAUGGCGCGGUGAAUACGUUCCCGGGCCUU
rnacentral:rRNA from 1 species